rnacentral:rRNA from 1 species
GUACCUUGACGGUACCUAACGCAGAAAGCCACGGCUAACUACGUGCCAGCAGCCGCGGUAAUACGUAGGGUGGCAAGCGUUGUCCGGAAUUAUUGGGCGUAAAGGGCUCGCAGGCGGUUUCUUAAGUCUGAUGUGAAAGCCCCCGGCUCAACCGGGGAGGGUCAUUGGAAACUGGGGAACUUGAAUGCAGAAGAGGAGAGUGGAAUUCCACGUGUAGCGGUGAAAUGCGUUAGAGAUGUGGAGGAACACCAGUGGCGAAGGCGACUCUCUGGUCUGUAACUGACGCUGAGAAGCGAAAGCGUGGGGAGCGAACAGGAUUAGAUACCCUGGUAGUCCACGCCGUAAACGAUGAGUUUUAAGUGUUAGGGGGUUUCCGCCCCUUAGUGCUGCUU